GCCACUUCUGACACUUACAAAUUAUGUCUUCUGAAUAAUGCAUGGCGCAUCCAGAUUGGCUGCGGGAGGGGGGGGGAGGGGGGAUGCUUUUUCAAUGGACAACCAGACGGGUAAGGAUUGUAUUCUAAGAAGAGUUUGACAUACCAAGAAGGGGGAAAAAAAAGAAGCCCAAGUACUCGCACACACUAUGAGAUUGACUGUCAAAUCAUUUCACAUCUGUACCUAAAGCAAACAGACAUAAUGCUAACAGCUUGCUGGAGCUCAGAAAUGCCACCCACUAAUCAGUCCACCUGUGGAAUUCUCAGUCCAUCUUGCAAGCCGUGUACCCGAUUGCCAAGACGCCUGACAAGAAGAUGUAUAUUAAAAUGAGAAGUCUCAGGAAAAAAAUACCGAGGAAUAAUCUCGCCUGUGCAAUGAAUGCACCCUUCGGGAAACAGGACAAAAGGGCAGCUGCUGAACCAUUUGGCUGUGCCGAGGGGUAGUGGGCUCGACGUGCUGGAGCUCUGCGCACGACCAGCUUGAGUUUGCACCCGCAGCUACAGGACACAACUUUAUGGAGAGGCUCUGCCAAGCUGCACGGCGCCGCCCCGAGAAUGGCCAGAGCAUGGCCCGUGGUGAAACACGAGCCCAGGGAUCUGCACAGGAACACCACCGGCACUGGCACUGCUGUUGGGCUUGGGGCUGCUUUUUAAAAGAGGUUUGCAAAGUGAUGAUGUUUUACUGCCUUGACUCGAGGUGCUGCUGUUGGCUACCAAAGGUAACGCACUACGAGCAAAAACGACCUGUAUAAUUAGACAUUUAUAAACAGAAGCACACUAAUACCUCGUAAAUUGAUUGUUAACCACGUUUAAUGCUCUUAAAUUGGCCAUUAAGUGCAGAAUAAUUUCUGGGAUAUUAUUGAUAUUAUGAAGCAUUAAAGAGGUUUUAUUUAUUCUCAUAAGCCUAAUGGACUCAUACAAAUUGAUUGUGUUCAAAAAGGUCAUUUUUUGCUUGUUGGUUCUGUGACAUCUUCUAAUCAGUUUAAUCAGAUCAAAGAGAAAAAUUGCAUAAGUAUUUUGAAGCAUGCUCUGUUUCCAGGUUCCCACUAGAAACAAAUACACGCACUUCGCAGAGCCCAGCUUCACCAGCUAGGCAUGAAUAUCCCAAGAACACAGUUCAAGUCAGAUGCUAAAAAAGAAGCACUCGUGUGCACACUUGCUUGCUACACAUCUCCUGCAGGCUGGCUGGCACGCAACACUGAUUUUCAGUGGGCACAGCAUCUCACCUCUCCUCCAGAGAAGAUACAUGUCAAAUAAGGUACAAUUCAAUAGGAGGAAUAUUACUGAAAUGUGCUACCCAGUAAGUAAUUCAGGUCUGGUCUGGCUUCUUGUGGAGAUGACAGUUGGUCUCAAUGCAGCAGCAUUAGACCCAACUUGCAGAACUGGUUUCCAAGCCCAGGCUCAGUAUAUUCUUCACUGACACUGAUCUUUAGAAAAAAGAAUUAAUGACAGUACUUCUGACGGUGCAAAAUAUGUCUCACUGCCAUUUGUAUUUGGCAAAGAAUUUCUCUGAUCUUCACUGGGUUUUUAGAUGCAGUAAAUCUUCAAGGGCUUUGGGCGCCCAGACACUCACGGUAGCUACCAAGGGCAGAUUUUUAAACCAAUUUAGGCUUUUGCUUCCUUAAUCAGUGGGAAGGAGCACCUAAAUGUCUUUAUAAAUCUGCCUCUGAAUCAUGCACAGCUGAGGAGCAUACUAUUUAGCAAAAUCCCAGUGAAACUAUUACAAGGGGGUUGAAAUCAAAAGUGUCUUAGGGAAGCUGUUGGAGUUAAUUCAGCAGUUUGCAACAGAUCCACCAUUUCAAAUAACGAGUCCAAGGAGCACUUCUUAGUUUGCCCAUAUUAAAUCCUUGGUCUUGCAGUGGUCCAAUUGGCAAACUCUGGUUUGGAAGAGUUGCUGCCUGAUAAGAGACUCAGAGUGAGGUCCAUGGCGUGCUGCUGCCUGCCCCAGUCAUGUGGGUUCGUUCCCUGUGGACAGGCUCCUCAGCCCACCCCUGGGAGGAUCAAUUACACGAAAAUGUAUGGCUCUAGUUUACAAAUGCU
ensembl:lncRNA